GACGAACGCUGGCGGCGUGCUUAACACAUGCAAGUCGAACGGAAAGGCCCCUUUCUGGGUACUCGAGUGGCGAACGGGUGCGUAACACGUGAGUAACCUGCACUUGACUUUGGGACAACUUUAAGAAACUGGGGCUAAUACCGGAUCGGAAUCCUUUCUGCAUGGUGGGGGUUGGAAAGCUUCGGCGGGUUUGGAUGGACUUGCGGCUUAUCGGCUUGUUGGUGUGGUUGUGGCUUACCAAGGCUGUGACGGGUAGCCGGACUGAGUGGGCGACCCGCCACAUUGGGACUGAGGUGCGGCCCAGACUCCUACGGGAGGCAGCAGUGGGGAAUAUUGCACAAUGGGCGGAAGGCUGAUGAAGAAACGCCGCGGGCGGGAUGACGGCCUUCGGGUUGUAAACCGAUUUCAGCAGGGGCGAAGCUUGUGGUGACGGUACCUGCAGAAGAAGCACCGGCUAACUACGUG
rnacentral:rRNA from 1 species